GUGAGUAUAGCUCAGUGGUAGAGUGCAUGCUUAGCAUGCAUGAGGUCCUGGAUUCAAUCCCUAGGACCUCCA
rnacentral:tRNA from 1 species